ensembl:misc_RNA 7SK 7SK RNA
GGAUGGAAGGACAAUCUGGCUGUAUCUCCUGUCUCCCAGGGAUUGCCAGAGUUGAUUCUGUGGAUAGCAUGCCUGGGUGAGAGUCCCCUUUCCCCGACCUCUCCAAGGGCAUUCAAGUGCCUUCUGAAGCUGCAUGCUCAGCUGAAGAGGACCGCCUUCCCUGGUAGAGGAGGACUGUUCCUUAGUCCAGGGCUUGUGACCAGCUGCUUGCCCUCUAGGACCUCUAUACACCCUCAAGACAGGCUCACUGAUACUCUUUAAUUUAAAAAUAUGGAUAAAAAGUCUCAGAAAUCAGUCUUCAUUUUUUUUUAUUAAGUCAAAUACACAUAAAUCAUG